rnacentral:rRNA from 1 species
UACGUAGGGCGCAAGCGUUAUCCGGAAUUAUUGGGCGUAAAGAGCUCGUAGGCGGUUUGUCGCGUCUGCCGUGAAAGUCCGGGGCUCAACUCCGGAUCUGCGGUGGGUACGGGCAGACUAGAGUGAUGUAGGGGAGACUGGAAUUCAUGGUGUAGCAGUGAAAUGCGUAGAGAUCAUGAGGAAGACCAGUGGCGAAGGCGGGUCUCUGGACAGUUCCUGACACUGAGACACGAAGGCCAGGGAGGCAAACGGG